CGAGUGCAGCAAAUUGGAAAAGACCCGCCUGUUUCCUCAAAAUGACGUUGCUAUGAAUGGGGCGGCCAACGUCAGCAGCUGAUACUUUUAUGCGCGGAAGGGAAACCUGCGCGAUUUUGGCAGUAAGUCGAUGUGGUGGACGGACAGCAGCUGAUCAGGGACUGCGGUUUAUGCCGCGCACUUGCGGAUACCUGCCCUGUAUGCUGCCUCUGCAGGCAGCUUUGGUGGUGUGCUUUCAGAAUGGAUUCUCUCAACCCUGGAGAUCCCCUCACUUAUGCAGAAUAUCUGAAAGCUCAAGGAAAUCAUGAUUUCAAAAGUGGAAACUAUUCUCUUGCCAUCAGAAAAUACGAUGAAGCAAUACACAUAAUACUUCAUUUCUUCAGUGCCACGGGGGUUCCGUGCAAUCGAGACAUAGCAGUAUUGUUCUGCAAUAGAUCAAAUGCUUUUUACAAUUUGGGUAAAUGGCAUGAGGCUUAUUACUCAGCAGAAGACUGCCUGAAAUGGGAUGCAACUUAUAUUAAGGGAUACUACAGAACAGGUUACUCUCUGAUUAAAUUGUCAAAACCCCUAAAAGCAGCAGAAAGGUUUUACCAAGGUUUGACUGUUCUCCAGACUUCAUCAGAUCAAAUUCCAAUCAAUCAAAUUUCUGAUUUGAUAAUCGGUACUUUCUCAACUAUUAACAAUGAAAAGACUAUUAACCAGAAAAUGGUAUCUAUUUGUAAAAAAAUUAUGGAUACUUUUGUCAGUCCACUGCUUUGGCAACAAGUAAUUGAAAAACUGGUAAGAAAAAGUUUAUGGCAGUCCUGUCUGUGGCUGGCUACUGAGCAAGAAAAAUUGCCAAGAAAUCUGCAAGUUACUGAUUUAUCGCUGAAGGACCUCUUUGAGAAGCAUAUUUUUGAGGCCCAUUUUAAAAAUAUACGAAGAUUAUCCAUAUUAGUGGAGUGGUUGCUCUCUAUUGGAACAAAAGUAGAAAGCAUUGGAGACUAUCCUCUUCAUGCUGUCAUCAUGUUUUGCAUCAAAGCAAAUGAAAACAAUCUUUUCAAAUGGUUACUGAAUUAUAAGCCUGAAUUGAAGAGCCUUAUUAACCAACAAAAUGAAGAUGGGUCCACAGUUCUUCAUCUAGUAGCAUCUCAGACUAGUAGAUAUUCAUGGAAAAAUCAAAAGGAAGAUAUUAUGAUGCUUCUAAAUGCUGGGGCAGAUCCAAAUAUCUCUGAUGCGCAAUCAAGAUCACCUCUGGAUAUCUUGAAAAAAAACAGGAAGUUCACAGCUGUAGACCUAAUCAACAACUACUCAACUAGCAGCAAAUUAUACUUGAAGGAAUUACCAGGGGCGAUUGGAAGUGAAGCAUCUGCAGAUCUAAUUAAUUCACUUCAAGAGGCUUUUGAACAAUUUGUGGAGUUUUGCUGCUUAGUACAAGGGGAAUACAGUCCCAAGAUGUUGAAACAUGACAAAAUCCAAAGGCUUUUGAAGCUGUUGUCUGCAGUAUCGGAGAUUCCUGAAAACCUUGCCUGUGAGAUUUCUCCUAUUUGUGCCAAUGGCUUUAUAAAGUUAUUAUUGGAGAAGCAUAUGUGGCAUGAAGUUUUGUUACUGUUGACCGGAAAGGCCACAGGGGAAAUGACACCGGGAGAUAGAUUACUUAAGAACUGUUCCCUUUCGGACGUGGACAUUGGGACCGUCUUGAAAAAUAUAAAUAAGAAUCAUAAGCAUCGAGUACAGCUCAUAAGAUGCUUGAUAGAAAGAGGAGCCCCACCUGAAGGGAUUGGAACUACUCAGGAGAAACCACUUCUGGAAUGUUUAAACAAGAAUGAUUUCGAAUUGGCAUAUUUGUUCUUGAAAUCUGGUGCAGAUCCUAGUUGUUUAUCCAUUUGGAGAAAUGACACGCCAUUACAUUCUGCAUUGUCAAUUUAUCUUGAUAAAAAAGAUGAUGCUGGUAUCAGUAUCCUGAGUCAUCUUCUAAAAUUGUACAAAUCAAAUCCAUCCACAUUUCCACAUCUAAAUCCAAAUACCCAAAACAAAAAUGGGGACACAAUAUUGCACAUUGUCUUUCAGAAAAAUCUGACAAAGCAGAUUACAAAAGUUCUAGCCUUGCUAGCAAAGUUUGACAUUAACUGUAAUUUGAAAAAUAAUUUAGGUAGAGAUAUACGGUACAAAAUAAAAAAGAAUGACCCAAUGCUUAUUGCUUGGAAUCAUGCUCUAAGUGAAAACAAGAAAAGAUACCGAUAUGAUGCAAUGGGACAAAAAUCCACUGCAGGUUUAAGCAGGUCACAAGCAAAAAAUUCUGCCCAUUCUUCAAGCACAUUAUCAAAUGCAACAUCUAUAGAAAUAUCAUUAAUCAUGGGGCCAAAUACAGAUAAAGAAAAAGAACAUGAUUCGUUCAAGAAUAGGCUACUAACGCAGAAAGAAUGUAUUUUGCAGGAAAUCACAUUGCUAAUGCAGAAAGUUGAAUUUGGUGAAUUUUCAGCAAAUAUUGAUUCAGAGACAUUUGAGAAACCAAAGGAGUUAUCUUCAGUAGCAAAAACUGAAAUCAAGGAGAUCAAACAUAAAAAGUCCUGUGGCCAGCAGAAGAUAGCUUACAGUAAAAAGGAUGCUUGCCUGAGUAAAAAUGACUUGAAGGAAAAAGCCCAGAAAGAACCCAAGGAAUGCAAACAGGAAGGGGAAGAACCUAUUCAGGACAAUGAUCAGUUCCAGGACGUAGAGAUGUACAUUCAGGACUUUGAUAACAUGACAUGGGAAAUUGAGUGUACAUCUGAAAUGCUAAAGAAGCUGAAGGACAAAAGCAUGCCUCGUCAAAUAAAAAACAGAGUAAUGUUUGUUAUUCAGCAACUGGGAAAUGGAGAAUGGACUCAAAGUCUUCAAAAGCAUCUGAAACAUUUGAAAGGUGACAUUCAGCUCUAUGAAGCAAAGUUGUCCAAGGGGUCAAGAAUGCUGUGGGAGUUGGCAGUAGAUUUUUCUCCUCGUUGCAGUGAAAGACAAGAUAAGAUAACAGAGAAUGAUGCUUGCAGCUCAGGAGAAAAAAAUGGAAGAGUUUAUACAGAAAUAAUUCGUCUAUGGGAUAUUGUUCUUGAUCAUGACAAACUCAGCCAUGCCAUUGACACUGUUUGCAUUGCAUACAAUCGUGGGCUGGAUUGUAUCCUGAGAAAAAAGCUCAAAGGUAUAAAUACAGGCUCCAUAUCUUCUAAUCUGAAAACACAAAAGCGUAUUCCUCUCAUUUAUGUGGAAGUCACCAAAACAGAAAAAGUGAAAGAUCAUGCACUUCUUGAAUAUUUUCCCCCAGCACGUACAGUUGAAACUGAGUACAAUGUAAUGAAGUUUCAUAGUUUCAGUACUAACAUGGCAUUUAACAUCCUAAAUGAUAUAACUUAUACUGUUGAAUAUCCCUUUAGAGUUGGUGAAUUAGAAUAUGCAGUUAUUGACUUGAACCUCAAACCGUUGGAGCCAAUAAUCUUGAUUGGGCGGAGUGGAACAGGAAAAACUACAUGUUGUCUAUAUAGACUUUGGAAAAAAUUCAGUUCCUAUUGGGAGAAAGCAGAGUUAGCAGGAGGCCCAUUGUUAGUCAGACAGAAGUGGCAUAGAUUAAAAUACAGUACACGGCUGGGAAAUGAGAACGUAGGAGACAUAAAUCAUGAUAAAAGUGAACUCGGUAGUGAUCCUGAUCAUUUGACAGAUUUGAAAACCUCUUUCAAUAUGAAUAGUGCUAAAAAAGAAAAUGAAGUUGAGUGGGACACUUUGACUUCAGUGGACUCAAUGAAUUUACUAUCUGAAUGUGAUGAGGGUGAGAAACCUGUUGAGGAAGAAUCUGACAAACUAGUGCACCUGCAUCAAAUCUUUGUAACUAAAAAUCAUGUUCUGUGCCAAGAAGUUAAGAGAAACUUCACUGAGCUUAGUAAGUCUUCCAAGGCAACCUGUCACUUCAAGCCACUUGAAUCGAAUAUCUACAGACUUCAGGAUGUCAAAGAUGAAAAUUUCCCACUCUUCCUUACCACCAAACAGUUGUUGCUCUUACUGGAUGCCUCUGUGCCUGAGCCAUUUUUCCCCAGAAAUGAAGAUGGAAGCCUUAAACAUAUUGUUGAUGGAUGGUCUACUACAGAAGACUUGGCAAUCAUAAAUUGGGAAGAAGAAGAUGAAGACAUUGAUGGGGAAAUAGAUUAUGAUGAAGAUGAAAAGGCUACAGAAAGUUAUACAAAAGAGUGUGACCCUCGAAUCUUUGUGACUUAUAACAUAUUUGCUGAUGAAAUUUGGCCUAAAAUGGUCAAAAGCAAAUGUCCCUAUAACCCAACAUUGAUUUGGAAAGAAAUAAAAUCAUUUCUGAAAGGCUCUUUUGAAGCUCUGAACAGCUACCAAGGCAUACUGACUGAAGAAGAAUAUAAAAAUCUAGGACGAAAAAGGUCCCCAGAUUUCAAAGAAGAUCGUGGUGAAAUCUACCGACUUUUUUGCCUGUAUCAGCAAAUAAAAUCACAGGGAAAUUACUUUGAUGAAGAAGACUUACUGUAUAAGUUGUCUCAGCAGCUUUCAAAACUUGGUGAAUUGCCAUGGUGCAUCCAUGAACUUUAUGGGGAUGAAAUUCAGGACUUCACUCAGGCAGAAAUAAUGUUGCUAAUGAAUUGCAUUGAGGAUCCUAAUGCAAUGUUCUUGACUGGUGACACUGCACAAAGCAUCAUGAAAGGAGUAGCUUUUCGUUUCAAUGAUUUGAAAUCACUUUUUCAUUAUGCCAGCCUAAGUUCUAGUGACAAGCAGUAUUUGGUUAGAAAGCCAAGAAGGAUAUAUGAGCUUUAUCAGAACUACAGGUCUCAUUCAGGGAUUCUUAAUUUAGCCUCAGGAGUUGUUGAUCUGCUUCAGUGGUAUUUCCCAGAAUCUUUUGAUCGUCUUCCUAGAGAUAGAGGUCUCUUUGAUGGACCUAAGCCUACUGUGUUGGAAUCUUGCAGUGUUAGUGAUCUGGCAAUUUUGCUAAAAGGCAAUAAAAGAAAAACACAGCCAAUAGAAUUUGGAGCCCACCAGGCAAUACUGGUAGCUAGUGAAAGGACCAAGAAAAAUAUCCCCGAGGAGCUUAACUUGGCCCUUGUGCUAACAAUUUAUGAAGCAAAAGGCUUGGAAUUUGAUGAUGUGCUCCUUUACAACUUUUUUACAGAUUCAGAGGCUUACAAAGAAUGGAAAGUAAUUUCUUCUUUUAUACCUCACACUGAUUUGCCUGAUCAAGAAAUCAAGCCAAUAAUCGAAGUACCCUUGGAGAAAGAUGUUGUUGCAAAAAGAAGACAUUCAGUUCUAAAUCCAGAAAUGUAUAAGAUGCUUAAUGGAGAGCUAAAGCAGUUGUAUACUGCUAUCACAAGAGCCAGAGUUAAUCUGUGGAUUUUUGAUGAAAACUGUGAUAGGCGGGCCCCUGCAUUUCAAUAUUUUAUCAAACGAGAAUUUGUUCAGGUUGUCAAAAAGGAUGAAAAUAAAAAAUUUGAGGAUAGUAUGUUUGUUAAAACAUCAACUCCAGAAGAAUGGAUUGCACAAGGAGAAUAUUAUGCUAGACAUCAGUGUUGGAAGGUUGCUGCAAAAUGCUAUCAACAGGGAGGCGCACACGAGAAAGAGAAACUGGCUUUGGCACAUGAUACUGUGCUUACAGUUCAGUCAAAAAAAAUCAACCCGAAAGAGAAGCAAAUGGAGUACUUAAAUCUGGCUAAAACCUACCUGGAAUGUUUUGAGCCAAAUUUGGCUCUCAAAUGCCUGUUUCAUGCAAAAGAAUACCAGCAUUGUGCAAAAAUUUAUGAAAAACUUGGAAAGAUAAAACAGGCAGCAUAUUUGUAUAAGAGAUGCCAGUGCUACAAGGAUGCAUCCAGAUGUUUUGAACAGAUUCAGGAGUUUGAUCUAGCACUUAAAAUGUGUUGCUGUGAAGAACGGUAUGAAGAGGCAGCAAAAUCUGUUGAAAGAUAUGAAGAAAUAUUACAAAAAGGAAAUCAGCCAGAUUUCAAACUGUCAUACACAGCAGACCAGUUUUAUUUGGAAGCUGCUGCAAAAUACUCUCGAACAAAUAAAAUCAGUAAAAUGAUGGAGAUGCUCUCUCACCUGGAUGCGGAAGACCAGCUUGCAUUCUUGAAAGCACACAAACAUAUUGAGAAAGCAGCUGAUCUGUUGAAAGCAGAAGGCAGAGAUGAGGAAGCUGCAAAACUUAUGAAACAGCAUGGUUUUUUCUUAGAAGCAGCAAAACUUACUAAUCAAGUGGACUUCCAAGCAUCCUGUUUACUUGGUGCAGCCCGCCUUGGUGUAGCAGGCUUUAUUAAGCUUGCAGAUGUAAAAGCCAUUUUGAAUGAAGCUUUAGAACUGUUUGAGCAAACAAACCAGAAAUCGGGAAGUGCCGAGGCUACCUAUUUGAUGGGUGUUAUAACAAAAGACUUUGCUAAAUUGAAAGUAGCCUUUGAUAUGUUUUUACAUGUGAAUCACUGUGCUGGGGCUGUAGAAGCUUUGUUUCAAGCCACAAAUUGUAUAGCAGAAAAUGGAGCCAUCUUACAGAUGACUGUUUGUGGGACUGAGGCAAUUCUGAAGCUGGUCAAAGCUUUCCAAAAAGCAGGCAAUAAUGCAGAAAGAGAAAUGGUGAAAUCAUGUUUUGAAUAUUUUGGGAUUAUGCCAAUAGAUGGAAAUUUUUGGCAAGUCUUCCCUAAAGAAGCAGGAUGUAUUCUAGAACUUUUGCCUGAAGAUAAUACAGUAACAGAAAAUAAACAAAGUGACCAGUUCAAGCUUAGCUUGAAAGAAGUAAAAAGUGUGCUGAAUCAGCAUUUAUUAAAUAGGCUAAUUGCCAUUAUUCGCUAUUUAUUUGAACUGAGUUUUCCCGGAAUUUGCAUGAAAUUCAUUGCAGGCUUGCAGUGCAAGGAUAAAACCUGUAAAGAUUUUCAUAAAGUUUUGGCACAUGAUGAAUUAAAAUCUGUAUUUCAGUGUAAAAUGCACUUGGCUUCAAUCAAUGGGCUGUUGCUAGAAGCAGAGCAAUUGUUCUCAAAAUAUUUGUUUCACAAAUCCAAUGGCAUCAAUGAACUGUUGACAGCUGAUAAAUAUGCAUUGUGCAGGUCUCUCAUUAAUACUUUGUUUCCUAAAUGCUUUCAUCUGGGAAUGGUUUCUGGCAAUCCAUUGGACUGUAAAGAAAUCCUGAAUUAUGGAAUUACUAAUUCUUGCAAUAUAGUGCUGAGAGAAUACAUCAGGUUUGAGUUUAAAAAUGAAACUGCCAGAAACAGAAGAGAAUCCACCGAUCUGUGGCUAAGAGCAAUACAAGUCUUUGCUUUGACAUCUAGUUAUCCUGCAGAGUUUGAGAGCCUUCUUUGUAAAGAAGAAGAUGACUAUAACAAAGAAUUAGAAGACAGCAGGAAAAAGAGAUUCAAAGGAAUAGAAGGCAAAUUUGGUAUGUUGAUGACUGACAGAUACACAGAAAAUGCUGUAAACACCCAUUUGUGUUUCAUUCGACUGCUGCAGAAUUCAAUGGAUCAGCUGUACAUUCAUAGAAAUCCUGAGCAAUGUAAAUGGCUAUUUUACCGUUUCAUGAAUGUCUUGGUGAAGAGAUGCAUUCAUCCAUUGAUUCCAAGCAUAGGUAAUACAGUGACUUUGCUGGAAUUUCAAUUUGUUUUGGGUUGUGCCAUACUCAUGCGUCUCUGUGAAAACAUGACUCUUUGUCUGCCCAGGAGCUACAUUGCCCUGUUUCAUUAUUGGGACUUUUUAUUUACAAGGGGAGUUCAACAAAAAGACGUAUUUUCUGUUAUACAAGAAUAUAAGCCAGAGGAUCCAAAGCAAGCUGUAUGGAAAUUUAAAUUUCACCUCAUGUAUAUAGCCAAUGUUUUGUGUGGAUAUGAACAUGAAAAUUUCAAUGUUCUCAGAGAUGCUUUUUGUAAUCCUGAUCUCAUCAUGUCAGGGGAAGCAGAGCGAACAGUGGUGCUUUGCUUGGUGAUGUUAAUAAAUGCUGAUCAAGUGCUUGGUAGGAAGCAUAAAGAUGCAUUAGCUGAGCAAUUUCCUUCUAUCAAGGAAUACCUUGCAGAAAUGAAAAAACAGUACCCAUCUGAAAUACCUGAAAGAUUGUUCAAGAUGGUGGAUUUCAUGAUUGAAGCAUCUGAGGUUAAAGAAGUUGUUGAAGGACUCAAGGAGUUGCUGUUUUGCAGAGACAAAGAAUUUUUAGCUGAUUGUUCUUGGAGGUGGGAUUCUAAAGGAGUCAGAGGCAUCUAUUAUGAAGUUGCUGACUUGGACAGAUUUGCAUAUCACAGGCAGGCAGAUUAUUUUGAAGAUUUAGAAAUUGAUCUUAAUAAAGACAUUGAUGUUGAAGACACAGAAGAUCCAUUAGCCGCUAUAGCAUCAAAACGGCAUCAGAAAACUUCUGCCAAGAAAAGGUUACAAUCCCUUUUCCUGUUUGUGCGUUGUUGUAUUAGAUGGAAAAGGAUUACACAUCCAAAGCCAGACUCCUUGGAAAUGGUAUUAGGGAUCUUUAAAAGAGCAGACAUUGACUCAACACAAUGUGAUCUUUGUGGAGUCAAAUUUCCCUCAAAUCCUGCAAACUUUGUUUCUGUGGUAGAACGUACAGAAGAAUCUAAAGAGAUAGUGUCUCCAACAGAAACUGAUAGGGAGGAGAUGAUGGAAAUAAAUCAAAAAGUUGCUACUGGAACAACUUUUGAAAACCAUGUUAUCUUGGUUGAGCAUAAAAAUAAAGAAAAAUCCUAUUGGAGAUACUAUGAAUUUUUCAAAAAUGAGAUGGAACCAUCAAUAUGUAGAGGGAUGAAUAUAGUGGAAAUGAUCAGAGACAAAGCCUGCAUCAGAGGUGACUUUGCAUCCAAGGAACAUUCAGAAGUAGUACAAAGGAAAAUCCAAAGUAUUAUUAAGAAGAUUUCUGAUACUGUGGAAGACAUCUACAAGAGAAAAGCAUGGGCUGAUGCUAAGAAAAUCAUUUCUGAGUUGGCUACCAGUCUGAAUUCUAAUUUAGACAAUGCCAUAAAGUUGCUGGAGAAAAUGGAAUCCUAUACAAGGGAAGAAGACUUUGAUCAUCACAAAAUGGACAUUGAAGUAGAAGAAGAGAUAACAUUCAAAGAACUGCAUGCCCAAAAACCUUCAAAACACAAUAGAAAGAAAAAGAAAAGGAAUUCAUUAGGACAGGGGUCCCCAACCCCAGGGCUGGGGCCCACUACUGGGCUAUGAGCUGUUCGGAAUCAGGCUGCGGAACUCUCAGUGUCUUGUAGAAUUAACUGAUGGACAACCAGCACAUAAAUAUUUGCCAUUGUUUAUCUUACCAACUGGAAGGGGAGUAACGAAUAAGAGAGUUGGAAGGGACCUUAGAGGUAUUGGUAGUCCAACCCUUUGUUCAAGCAGGAGACCCUAUACUACUCCAGACAAAUGGCUAUCCAACCCCAGUGAUGAAGCACCCACAACUUCUAGAGGCUAGCGCUGGAGGCAAAGUUGGGCGAGGCGAAGCUAAAAGAGGGCCGGCUUUGCGAGACGAAGCAACCGCAGAGCUGAUCAAAGCGCUCGAGGCGAGACUGGUGGAACUUUGGCGCCACCUCCUACCCGAUUUCCCG